CUAUGCGCCUUGCCAGCCCGCUCAGGUGUGCCAGCCGCCGCGGUAAUACGGAGGAUGCGAGCGUUAUCCGGAUUUAUUGGGUUUAAAGGGUGCGUAGGCGGGCUGUUAAGUCAGCGGUCAAAUGUCGGGGCUCAACCCCGGCCUGCCGUUGAAACUGACGGCCUCGAGUGGGCGAGAAGUAUGCGGAAUGCGUGGUGUAGCGGUGAAAUGCAUAGAUAUCACGCAGAACUCCGAUUGCGAAGGCAGCAUACCGGCGCCCUACUGACGCUGAGGCACGAAAGCGUGGGUAUCGAACAGG
rnacentral:rRNA from 1 species